rnacentral:rRNA from 1 species
UACGGAGGGUGCAAGCGUUGCUCGGAAUUAUUGGGCGUAAAGGGCAGGUAGGUGGUCUCGUUUGUCUAGGGUGAAAGCCUUGAGCUUAACUCAAGAAGUGCCCUAGAAACGGCGAGACUAGAGUUCUGGAGAGGGUCGUGGAAUUCCCAGUGUAGCGGUGAAAUGCGUAGAGAUUGGGAGGAACACCAGAGGCGAAAGCGGCGACCUGGACAGAUACUGACACUCAACUGCGAAAGCGUGGGGAGCAAACAGG